rnacentral:sRNA from 1 species
GCCGGGCGUUGUGGCGGGCGCCUGUGGUCCCAGCUACUUGGGAGGCUGAGGCAGGAGACUCGCUUGAGCCCAGGAGUUGGAGGUUGCUGUGAGCUGUAAUGCCACGGCACUCUACCCAGGGGGACAGCUUGAGGCUCUGUCUCAAAAAAAAAAAAAAAAAAAAAGAUAGUCUCACUCUGUUGCCUGAGCUAGAGUGCAGUGGUGUCAUCAUAGUUCCCUGCAGCCUCAAACUCCUAGGCUCCAGUGAUCCUCCUGCC